AACGAACGCUGGCGGUAUGCUUAACACAUGCAAGUCGAACGAACAAAAUUGGGGCUUGCUCCAAUUUUAGUGAGUGGCAAACGGGUGAGUAACAAGUGGGAAUCUACCUAUCAGUACGGAAUAACAUUUGGAAACAGAUGCUAAUACCGUAUAUUCUCCAAGGAGGAAAGAUUUAUCGCUGAUAGAUGAGCCCGCGUAAGAUUAGGUAGUUGGUAGGGUAAUGGCCUACCAAGCCGACGAUCUUUAGCUGGUCUGAGAGGAUGAUCAGCCACACUGGACUGAGACACGGCCCAGACUCCUACGGGAGGCAGCAGUGGGGAAUAUUGGACAAUGGGCGAAAGCCUGAUCCAGCAAUACCGCGUGAAUGAUGAAGGCCUUAGGGUUGUAAAGUUCUUUUAGUUGGUAAAGAUAAUGACGGUACCAACAGAAAAAGACCCCGGCUAACUCCGUG
rnacentral:rRNA from 1 species